GUAUCGUACGGAUUAAUAGAUAUUUUAAAUACUAGCGUAAGAUAUUUAUAAAAAGAAAAGUUCACAAUAUUACUAACUCGGUACGUAUCUAGAUUUUCGAUCUCUCAUUUCGGCGAUUCGGAGCUGGAAAAUAUCUUCCUGCGAGUCGUAUAUUCAGAAACAAUUUCGCUGCCUCACAGUGUUCUGUAUACAGCACAAGACAAAAAAUGUAGACAACAUAAAGAGAACAAAAAUAGACAGGUAAUCUUUAUGCAUAUCACUGUGUUAGUAGUGCAGAAUGUAAGAGAAUAACCACAUUGAAAAUUUCCAUAGAAAUACAACAAGUUCUAUAAAAAUGAAAAUUCAAAGCUAAGAACAAAACAAUUUAUCUUUGUCAUAUCCUGUAUGUUACCUAUUGGGUGAGACAUCGUGGCUACACUAGCUCUUUUCCUAGCUACCUAAAAAAAGUUGAUGAAAAAUAAAACAAAAUAAUUAAUCGACGGAACAAAGUUAAAAAAUAAAUAAAAGUGCAACUUAUGAGAGAUGCAUAUUAUACAUAUUAGGUAAGAUGUCUUACUAAGCUACUGUUAACAACGUAAUUUGCCUGACAUUUCUAGACCAAAAUCACUCCUCAAAUUUUCUCGCUUAACUUGCAUCCACAUCGCGCAAUUCUGCUUCAUUUGGCAAGCAAUAUGAUCCCUUAAUUGUCAUUAUUCGUAUUAUUCGCUGCAUCGUUAUUAUUUUUACGCUUGCGCUUCUGACAAUUCUUCUUCUAUAUACUUGAUCCUGUAAUUAGAAAUAGUUAUAUAAGGAUAUAAGACAUAUAAAUGCAACGAUUAAUAAUUUCAGGAAAAUACAUUCUCUUAUUGCUGAUUAAAUGUCGAUAAUAAACGUAAGAGAGAAAGAAGCAAACGUUGCGAUACGUAUAUGUACAUUUUUUCGUCGCGUUUAUUGGUCUUCAUGUUAAAUUGAGUUCUAAUGCCGAUGUCGCAUGCAUUGGGCUUAUAUUUUGUAUUCUUCAGUAUUUUUCAGCACAGCCAUAUUUUCUUUCGGUUUUCAUAUUAAAGGGAUCCAACUAAAUUAACAUAGAUCUCGCGUUACUUCUCCGAUCUAUCGUAAAUUUCACUUUUAUUACAUAUACAUGUAUAUAAGUGUCUUACUGUCAACACAUGGGAUACAAUGCUUUUUCCGAGCGCUAAACCAACAAUAUUGACGCCAGCCGGUCUCUCAAACCCGUAUGUGCAUUCAUUUUGACGUUGAUAUAAAUUUCUCAAGCGAGAAAUACGAUUAAACUGGUAUCGCUAUUUUUCUUUUUUGUUUGUAGUUAAACCGUUACCAUAUAGUUAAAUAUAUAAUUGCAAUGAAAUGUUACUUUGUCAGUUUUCAACAUAAAUGCGUUUAAGUUGUAAUAAAGUUUACAAGAUUUUUUAGGCAUCGUUAUUUCUAGCCUUUUACAUCGAUAAAACUUUCCUAUGUUGAAGUCUAAUGUACGAAAUAUAUUUAAUUUUAAAAUACUUUAUUUGAUUUUUUGAUAUUUAAUUUUAAAAUACUUUAUACGCUUUAAUUGUAAGCACUUAUAUAUUAUUAUACUUACAAUUCAGAACAUUUCGAGCAAUCAAUUUGACCGAGAAUAAGUUUGUAUUUACUUACAACGGGAUAAAAAAAUUUAUGCAUUAGAGUAUAUACAUGUAACAUUAAGUUAAAGACCGUUUUAUUAUAUAAGUUUAAAUAUUUCGGUUGUAGUAUACAGUCCUUGAUUUAUAUGUAUAUGUAUAAGUGCGAUGGAUUGUUAGUCGAUGUUAUCGUUUGUACUCCGAGUCUUGAACAGACAACUUGUCAUGUCAUUAUUUGAAUUCAAUUAUUUUUCAAAACAUGUUUGCGCAACAAAUACUACGAGUAAUUUUUUGCAAAAACUAAGUUUGUUUAAGUCUAUAAAAUUAUUACUUCUUAACAUUCAUAUAGUAUGCUUUCCAGCAAGACACAGUGUAACACAGUGUCUACUAGUGUGAAUGAGACACACUGAUAUGUUCUUUCUCACACUGUGUUACACUGUGUCUAGCUGAAAAGCACACAUAGGCAAAUAAUGAUUCUUUUUAUUUACAAGUAUUACAUGCACUUGUAAUUUAAAUGUAAUUUGCCGAAUUGAGAGCAUGCCGUAAAGCACGAAAAGCUGGUAACGCAAAUAAUUGUACAGAAAAAUCGCACGGUAUAUAUUCAUAUCAUAUUUAUUAAUAACAUAAAUACAAAAACUUAAAUACAAAAAAAAUAUUUAGGCGAGAAUUUAGCGAAUUAUUGAAUAAUUCGUAAUUUAAUAGCUCAUUUGCAUGCAGGUCAAUCUUUUAAUCAUUAAUAAUAUUUUGUGCAUGUAAUAUUACUUCAAGAAUCUCGAAAUAUCUGCUUCGAUAUAUAAUGAUCGUUGUUACAAAUAUUUAAUGGUAUAAACUAAUUCCGCUUGUGAUAUCAAAAAUAUAAGGUUGCAACGAAACUCUAUGAAAUAAAGAAAACAAUAAAGUUCACUUAUCAGAUGAUAUAUAUAAAAUGUAAAAUGAAUUACUUGGCGUUUACUUAUUUCUACAAUAUUUGUAGCCAUGACUAUAAUACCUAUGCAUAUUACACGUCAAAUAUUUUGGUAAAAAAACUUGGUCAAGUAUCUAUAUCCCUUUGCUUCACAGUGAUAGCUUGAUAUAUAUGGUCAGCAUUUUUUUUUUUUUUUUUUUUUUUUUAAGCAAAUUAAAGUUUGCAUAGAGGUUCAGAAGAAAUCUUCCCUCCCACGGGUACGACCUUGUCGUGGUGGGAGGGCUCAGUACCCCGAGGGCUUGAAUGCCUGUGGGGGAAGCUAACUGUACCCAUUGCACUUAUUAAGUUUGUUUUUUAUUCCUGCACUGCUACACUAGUGCAAUAAGUAAGAAUGAGAAAAAAAAUAUUUGUCUUAUUGCAAUAUCUAACUUAUUGCACCAGUGCAGCAGUGCAGGAAUAAAAAACAAACCUAUUACGUCGUUGAUCGUAAAAUUGUGGUUCGUCGCGCCGUGUUAACGCGGUUCGGGAGUGCCGACCGAUUGAAUUGAAAACGAACCGUAGCCGGCUCAUCGUGUCGCGCGUUUGCUUCGGGAGUGUCGUUCAAGUAAAUGGACUAAAAGGGCUGUCUAGUCUAAUUAGUUCUACGCGCGAUCGUAGUAUAUUCGGUUAUUUGCAAGUGUCCUGUGCAACGAGAGGAGGAGGAGGCCUGGGAAAGGCAUUGGGCCCCGGCAGAGCAACUUUGGGAAUCAUCGUAGCGACGUUGCUGAAUAUCUCUGCCGCUGCGCAUCGAUCGGUGAGUGAUGAAUAAACUUUUAAAAUUAGAGUAAUAGAUCUGUGACAAAAUUGUACUUCAUAUAUAAUGUAGAAAUGUUUGCUAUAAUGCUGCAAUAAUAAAUAACAUUUAGAUAUCAUAUUUAUUUCAUGGAUCUAUUGCUUUAAAGUGGAUUGACUAAAACAGAUCAGGAUUUAACAUUUAAUCCUGAAUGAAUGAUAUACAUUAACUUAUCAUGCAUAUUUAAUUUAUUAAAUAAUUUUUUUCGACGCCGUUGCAGUCUCGGCGAGGGUUAGGUAUGUGUUCAACAUCAUCAAAUAUAAAUUACAAGUAUAAUAAAAAAUAUAUAAUGUAUCUUGCACGUAUGCGCACAAUUAGAAACUGCGCGCCGUUUCGUCUCUGAUAAAUUCCGUCAAAUAACUAAAAUAGAAUAAAAUAAAUGCCGUUCAACUAAAUUUAACUAUAAACUUGAAAUGUUUUAAACUCCCUUUUAAAAUUUUAUUUCUUUCUGGGGUAAUAACAGCCGCUAUAAUUAAUCAUACGAAUAGGUAGAAAUAUUAAUAUAUAGAAAUAUGUAAAAAAUAAAUAGGUAUUAGAAAAUAGAUAGAAAACGGAUAAGAAUACUCUAUGUAAAUAGAUACGAAAAAAUUAUGUAAAUGCUUUUUUUAAUUUUAUAGAAACAAUCUGUGUAAUUAAAAAUUAUAUGAUUGUUAUUGUUAUAAUGUUAUGUAAUUAAAAAUUAUAUACUAAUGCCCGAUAUAUUACAGGAAAUCAGAACAUGAUAUACGAUAAUACAUCACAAUUUAUUAAAUUAGCGUGUUAAAUUUAUAUACUUUUCACUUUAUAUUUUCUUAAUAUUUUAAUGUUUGUUCUUAAUUUUCUUCUAAUUUUGUUUCUAAACUUUUAUUCUUUGUUUAUAUCUUUAUUCUUUAAUACCAGAAUAUUUAAUACAAAUGGUGAAUUUUAAUAUUGUUGUAUUUAUUUCGUCGCUUUUAUGUAAUGUGGUGAAAAUAUAUUGUAAAAUGUAUUGUAAAAUAUUUUAUAAUUUGUAAUUUAUUAAUUUUAUUUUUAAUAUUUAAUAUGAAAUAAAUUCUAACUUAUAUAAAUUGUAAUAAAUAUAUUGUAAAAUUAUACUGUAUUCUUUAUGCAUUUGCUGUAAAUUUAUUUUACUAUGUUGUAUUAUUGAAUUAUGUAACAAAAAAUAAUAAUAAAAUAAAAAAAACACAUUUAAAGAAAGAGGACCGUCGACUAAGAAUCGACGGGGGUGGUGGAGGGCCUCUACAGGUUGAUCCGUUUUUACCGAGUAAAAUUUUAAUUAGAAAUUACAUUAAAAACAUAAUCUUUAGUUAAGAAAAUGUUGUCAUUUAUCCUGUAAAAUUUCAUUUGGUAAAAACAGAUCAAAUUUAACCAAAAUAUAUUCAAUCACAAUAAUAUACGGUAAAAA